UCGUGAGAUUGCAGUAUUUUCUUGGACUCCAUCCGAAGGCUGAUUGCAUUUCGAAGUUUGGUACCAUGUUCUUUGGAGUGUAGUGUGUACUCAUUGUCAGCUUAAAAAUACGUAUCGCGUCUGUCUCGUUCGGACACAUAGCGUAUAGAAUAUCAAGGGACAAUAUCAAUUCCACCUUACAACAGUGGUUCUGCGGUCGUUCAAUUUCAACAGAGGGUAACGAAAUUUCAAGAUGUCAGCAGCGAACUGCCUAUUACAUUCUCUUGGGUUGAAAGAAAGACGGAGAUGAAAGGAAAGCAGGGUUACGACGAUGGAACCAGUGGACCGCUGUGCGUCAACCAGGAUGCUGUGGGCAGCCGGCCAGAGGAAACGAGGGUGACCAGGACCAGGACCGACGGGUAAACCAGGAUGGUCGGAACGAGACCUGCAGGAAACGAGGACCAUGUCGAGGUAAAGGUGGAUGAGUAAAUUCAACGAGCCUCCACGUCCAAUCAAUCUUCAUGGAAAACGUGGGACUUCUGUCAAGUGAUUUCAACAUGAGAUUCCAGACCCCAGAAUGUGAUCAUUCUUUGUAGAAAAUAUUUGGACACCUUCAGAAACCGCCAACACAGGUAAACGAUGAAGCCUCAAGACACUCCUCGUGAAAGCUCCUGGUAUCCUCAAGUGAUUCGCUGAUGUUAUUUCAGUUAACCUUAGCCUCCCCCUAUUCCAUUCUUACCCCCUCAAAAAGCUCCUUAAGUCGAACUUACUGCUCUCGCAUAAUUUAAUUUCACGUCUAAAGCGUUAGCACAGCGAACAUCAUUUUCCGUGUAUAUCACUGGUAUCACGAGAAGUAUAUUUUGAAUUUCAUACCUAAAGCCGCGAAAGGCUUGUCACUGAAUAUCUCUGCCAAAUAGUCGCAUUCUGAAAUGAAUUUUACUGGCAAUCUGAA